rnacentral:rRNA from 1 species
CGGCGGACGGGUGAGUAACACGUGGAUAACCUACCUAUAAGACUGGGAUAACUUCGGGAAACCGGAGCUAAUACCGGAUAAUAUAUUGAACCGCAUGGUUCAAUAGUGAAAGACGGUUUUGCUGUCACUUAUAGAUGGAUCCGCGCCGCAUUAGCUAGUUGGUAAGGUAACGGCUUACCAAGGCAACGAUGCGUAGCCGACCUGAGAGGGUGAUCGGCCACACUGGAACUGAGCACGGUCCAG